rnacentral:lncRNA from 1 species
GGCAGGCCCGGGCCCCUUAGCACCCAGCAGAGUGAGGAGCUGAGCAGGUCUCUGCAAGGAGGGCUUUUGGGGCACUGCCGGCACACCACACGCUCCGGGCAGCAUGAUGUUCACUCCAUUCCUCCCACCUGCUCACUGGAAUGUCGAAGACCCUGGGAAAGGUGGUCAGGAACUUGUUGUCUUGUCUGACACCGUGGAGCACAUGCCCAGGGGCCCGGGCUGGCCGAGGGAGCCUGCUGUUCUUCGAAGAUCUAGGAGGGGCCGCAUCCAGAGAGUGCUGGCAUGUGUGACCAAGUUCUUCUUCGGGCGAGAGCUCAGAGCCAGCCUCUGCCUCCCUCAGUGCCCACAGCCCCGCCCAGCUGCCCUGUUUCGUGUCCCGCCAAGAGAGCCUCAAUUCCCAGGGCUCCCAAGGUUCCCCUUGUCACUCUGCUUUCCUUCCUAGGGGAGGAUACGGGACACUCUGAAACGGAGACCACAGGAGCCAUGGAAACAGAACCAUGAACAGGGCUGCCCUAAGGCCCCGCUUUCCCAGUAUCUCAGGCGCUGGGGCUGAAAUAAAUGCUGGCGCGUUUGACUGUUUUUGCUUCCUGAUGCUGGCUGCCACUUUCGACACUGUCACUGGGCUCAGGUGCAUUGGAGGCAGGGUGCGGGGGUGUCAGCCACGGUGGUGCUGGGAUUGCGGAAGGAGGGAGCUAGCAUCUUCCUUA